CUUCUUUCUGGCUGGUUGCUCCAGUUUUUUCCUGUGUUGCUGAGUUCUAUUUUUUUUUUUUUAAUCUAGAAAAUAUUUUGAGCUCUUCAAAUGAAAGGUUUUAUUUGAAAGAAAAAUAUUAUUGCCAUUGAGAAAUUACUAAAUUAAAAAGUCCUUUCCUUUUUGAUGAUUUCUUCCUUCCUUCCUGAAUACAGAUUUUAUGGCAUCUCAAAUAGGCCUGGAGGUCACAAUGUGAAUAAUCCAAGACUAGGACUUUGAACUGAUUUUGAAAACUAAGAAGCUUGGUAGCUUUUUAACACCUCCUUAUUUUACUACAUGCCCCAGCACAUCUUAGUGUUGGAGCUAUGCAACAAAGAACCCUCUUAAUGAUCUUUGGAACUUAUAUCUAAGCAGUUCCUUCCUUCCCCCUCCAUACCCCACCUCCCCUUUUAUUUUUUUCUUUCUUUUCUGCCAGAAGUCUAAUCUUAUCGUGCUAAAGGCAUGGGAUGUUCUACACUUUUUGCAACACAUCUACAGAUAUGAUCAAAUCUCACUACCCUUGUUCUCUGCACUGACGGUCUUUUCUUCUACUCUUCCCCCUAACUGCACACCCCACGUGGCCCCCGGCUCACUAUUGACAUCCCCAGUGCUCAGAUCACACCUGGGACACUCUCGCCGACCUCUUUCAAGAUUUCUGGGGAGAGAUAAAAAUGUGUUUGUCCCUUGAGUGAAACAGGAAGUUCAGCAAGUCAAAACAUUGCUUCUGUGGAUCUGGUUGGGGUUAUCCAUUUGUCAGGAGUGCAUGUUUUUACCUGUAUCAGCAUUAAGGAAGGCAGGAGGUCUAAUGCAUCCGACCACAUCAUUGUGAUAAAGGAAGGAAAGCAGAACUUGCCAGCAGCAUACCUCAGCCAGGAGAUGAAACGGGUGAGCUCCUGCAGCACACAGGAGCAGGGUGCAACACUUAACACUUUCAGGGGUUCAGGGUGAAAACAGAAAAAUAUAUUUUAGAUGGCAAUCAAAUAAUGGAAGGACUGAAGAAUAAAAUAGUUGCCUACAUCACCUUGUUUAGAGCUGUCUGUAAGUCCUCUGACAAUACUGUUGUCUAUAAAAACCCUUAUGAUGGCUUUCAGUUUUUUCCCCAAAUUUUUGUGCUGUUGACACCUGCUGACAAAUGCUGGAGCAGAGUGCAGUCAUGAAACAUCAUUUAUUUUAAGGGAGAACUUUUAUCUGUUUCCAUAUAAAAGUUAAGAAAGAAACCAAAUAUGAGCCUGGCAGUCUGUGUAGAUGUGACUUUGGGCCAGACUUAGUAUUUUGGUAUAAACACUAAAAGCCUUUCAAAAAAUAAUAUCCUGUGGCUUUUGCACUUCCAUUAUAUUAAACAGAUUUUCUUUACUCACAGUGGGAUUUCAAAUUAAUUUGUAAUUAUACACACAAUGAGGGGAUGAGAAAGAAAUGAACUAAUUAUAGACCAAAAAGAUGCCCUACAGCUAUCAUCCAAUUACUCCAACCAUCUGAGCUCUUACGCAAAAUGAUGGGCUUAAUCCUCUCUUGGUCACAUCUAGUUGUAAUUUGCCACUGGAAGCUAUAAUUUCACUUUAAAUAUUCAUUCACAUAAUAUAAAACUCUGUGCUGAUGUUACUUAGGAUGGAAACAGAUAAUGAGAAUGGGUCACAAUCACAGACAUCCUUCUAGACUUUGGUCUCCACGAACUAUGUGACCAUUGGGUGAGAGAGAAAAUCACAGUUUUUCUGCUGUGUCCCCCAAAUGGUACUAAUUUGCUAUAAUUAGGCAGAUAGAAAGCUUUUAAACUAAUGGAAAGAUCACAAAUACCCACUAACAAAUGCAACCUAUCUCCCAGUUUCAACCUUCCCUUUCAACAUAGGAUGAAGAGUUCAUGAAGAGCUACAGUAAUGUGUGGGUUAAGAAGUAGCUUUCUAAUUGAACAAAUUUUUACCUCUGUUCUUUAUGCAAUAUACUCAUUUUAUAUUAAUAGUGUUUUCACUAAAAUCUUGCAGUAGAGCAGGAAGAUUAAGAUGAAGGAAGGGGCAUGGUACAGAAGAGGAAAGACCUAUAUGCUGCAAGAGAGCUAGAGCUUAAAGAAAAUGAAAUUUACCAUUGUGAAAGAUCUUGGCAGGUUAAAUGAUCAGCUCAUUGACCUAAAAAGACAAACCAGUUCUUUUUCAUGUAUAAAUUGGAUGCUCUGCAAGUAUCUGAGUAAGUGCUGGCCAAAAAAUGGUUUACUUAUGAACUGCUGUGUGUCUUGACACAUUAUACAGCUUUUAAUAAUUAAGUAAAAGGAAGCUCUGUAUCAAGAAAGUUACCAUCAUAUAGGAAAUAUAAAUUAUGUGUUUCAGUGCUGUGCACAGAUUUCACUGACAUGGGCAUGACUGGUACUUCUGUUGCCUAGAUUAACUGAGCUGGUCAAUUAUCAGGAUUAUAUGGCUGGCAGAAAGGAUCCACAGAGAAGCUUACUAGACUGAAACUGAAUUGGGAUAAAAGACUAUUUGUAGAGCCAUGCACCUGGAUUUACUGCAGGGAAGAAAAAGAAGCUGUGUUCAGGGUGGUGUAUAAGCCUUUACUUUGUGAGACAUGAUGGUGGCUGUAUAGCUGUGCAGAGCCCAAGCCCUGCCCUUUGCCAAAGGAUAUGUCUAGUCCUGUGGUAGAAAUUUGUUUAAAAGAGUUGACUGAAGAAUCUUUCUUCUUUAGUCAUUUGUACAGUUUGUCAGAACAGGAUUCAAGUAUUGUCAAUCAUCUUGAAAUCUAACUAGUUUAUAGCUUGUGCUCUGAACCUACCCAUUCUUUUGAUCUUUUUGCCUUAAGAAUGCAACUGCAUGAGAAAUACAUUAAUAAACUUUAAAGAGAA